UUUUAUUAUUUUACUUAUCAGACUGCUAAGAAGUGCUAACCAUUGACACACCGCCAAAAGAUGAAACCCUCAAUAGCCAGUCUUUAGUCAUUGUAGAGUCAGAAGUUCAACAGUUGAACAUUGGGAUAUUUGAAGCUCGAGUUGGUCAUUUAAAACAAAACUGUUCUUUCUUACUAUCCUCCAGAGAUUUGGAUUUGUCCCCAACAUUGGAUCUGUAGUGACUCAAUGUGUCAUGUCCUACAUUGGAUCUGUACUGACUCAAUGUGUCAUGUCCUACAUUGGAUCUGUAGUGACUCAAUGUGUCAUGUCCUACAUUGGAUCUGUAGUGUCUCAACGAUUCAUGUCCUACAUUGGAUCUGUACUGACUCAAUGUGUCAUGUCCUACAUUGU